rnacentral:rRNA from 1 species
CCUACUGGGGGCAGCAGUGAGGAAUAUUGGUCAAUGGCCGGAAGGCUGCACCAGCCAAGCCGCGUGAAGGACGAAGGUGCCAAGCAUUGUAAACUUCUUUUGUCAAGGGACAAAAUCAGGCUCGAGAGCCUGACCGAGGGUACUUGCAGCAAACGCAUCGGCUAACUCCGUGCCAGCAGCCGCGGUAAUACGGAGGAUGCGAGCGUUAUCCGGAUUUAUUGGGUUUAAAGGGGGCGUAGGCGGGCGGUUAAGUCCGCGGUAAACGCCCGGGGCUCAACCCCGGCGAGCCGUUGGAACUGGCUGUCUUGAGAUGUCGAGAGGUAUGCGGAAUGCGCAGUGUAGCGGUGAAAGGCUUAGAUAUUGCGCAGAACUCCGAUUGCGAAGGCAGCAUACCGGCGGUGAUCUGACGCUGAGGCACGAAAGCGUGGGUAUCGAACAGGAUUAGAUACCCGGGUAGUC